AUAAAGCCUUUGGCUCUAAAUGUGUUUCAGGGAUAUUCAAAGUGGAAAUCUUUCUCUCCAUCUGGGGAAUUGCUUGGUGUCGACUGACAAGGAAAUGGAAGAGAUUGGCUUGAAACCCAGGGCACAGGCUUGCAGCUGAGCAUGGACAACUCCUCAGCUGAAGGGUAUUUCAAAGGUCAGCUGCUCAGAUGGAUGGAAGAUGACCAUCAAUCAUGUGCCAGAGCUUGUUUUGGCCAGCUCCGAGGAAGAUGUGCAUUAAAAUGGGCAGGAAGAAAAUUAAUGACCUAUCAGGCACAAAUCACAAUUGCAGUGUUUCAGAAGUUGAACAGAGAAAAACUAAUUAAACUGACUGCCACGGAACCAGGACAAGAAACUGGGAAAUGUGCCAAAAUAGCUCCUUUCAAAAUGCAAACUUUUUUUUUCUUUUUUUUCUCUUCUUUCUUUACUUCCCUCCCCUUUUUAGCCACACUGACAUUUAUUUCUGCGUAGAACAUCCAGGCAGUACCAUAUUUCUAUCUAGACACCCAAAAAAUCUGCAGUUUAGGGUUAGUAUUCUAUGCAAAGGACAGCUAUUCCUCAUUGAACUCCAUCACAUUUCAUAAAAGAGUACAGUACAUCUGAUACUAUUGAAGAGCCAUCCCUCUACCAGCAUUCCCUGCGGAUGGGCUCCAGCCUCGUCCCAGUGUGGCCAUCCUUAUGCUCUUGUUAAAGAAAUAGGCAGCAAGAUGGAGUUUUCCCAGAAAAAGACUAUGAAA